UUGGUGAUGGGCAUCUGUGAUGGCUGUUAUUAUAUGCUGCCUAGAUUCUUUGGAAAUGAAGGACUCAUGCCUACAGCUACUGAGAGUGCUACCUGAAGACAACCCUCAGCUUUAAGCCCUUUUCAGGGAUCGUCUUGCUUGAAAAAAGCUGUCUCACACAAGGAACCUACUCUCAGAUGUGAGCUAAUUAGUGAGCUGCACAUCAAAAGAAGUGAAGUGUAUCUUGUAAAUAGGAUUUCAUUUAAAACAGAUCAAAGAAAGAUUUACUGAAUCACUCCCUCAUCCACUGAUUUCUCC
rnacentral:lncRNA from 1 species